GACGAACGCUGGGCGGCGUGCUUAAUACAUGCAAGUCGAGCGAGGUUACUGUUUCGGAUCCCUUCGGGGUGAAGAAGCUUUAACCUAGCGGCGGACGGGUGAGUAACGCGUGGGUAACCUACCCCAAAGUCCGGGAUAACAGCGGGAAACCGCUGCUAAUACCGGAUGCCUUUACCUUGGGGCAUCUUGAGGUAAAGAAAGGUAACGCUUUGGGAUGGGCCCGCGUCCCAUUAGCUAGUUGGUGAGGUAACGGCUCACCAAGGCGACGAUGGGUAGCCGGCCUGAGAGGGUGGACGGCCACACUGGGACUGAGACACGGCCCAGACUCCUACGGGAGGCAGCAGUAGGGAAUAUUGCGCAAUGGACGGAAGUCUGACGCAGCGACGCCGCGUGAGCGAUGAAGGUCUUCGGAUCGUAAAGCUCUGUCCUUGGGGAAGAAGGCGAAAGCUUGACGGUACCCAAGAAGAAAGCCCCGGCUAACUACGUG
rnacentral:rRNA from 1 species